GGACCAAGUCAGAGUACUCCAAACUCUCUGCAACCUCGUUAGUGACAAAUACAGCGACGGCCCUCCUCAACAAUCGGGCUAGCAGGAGCUCUUUCCUGAGAGCGGCGUAUUUAUGUCCUCGUUCCGCCUUGCUGCCAUGAGUCAUGCUUCAAAGCCCAAUUGCAUGCGUUUAUUCCACGCACUUUUUGACCACUUUUUUACAGUUGAGGAGUGUCAAAAUGCUGUCGCUUUUGGUCGCCCUGGAAACAAACCUGCAGGAACAGGAAAGCGCAUCCUUGACCGGAAAAAAGUUGAAGAAAUCCUAACAUAUGUCCUGAGAUGCGGUACCCUUCCUGAUUGGGACAAUAUUGAGGAGGCCAAGCUCAAGCAAGCUUUGGUAAACAAAUGUUGGGCAAGAGCAGGUUUUAAGUAGGCCCUUGUACCUGCCAAGUUCAUUCUGGGGUAGGAUGUUUCCUUUGUAAACAUGUUGAUAUUUUGGUCUGGGGUUGCGCAGUAUAUAUUGUAUAAAAAUGCCCUAUGAUGUAGCUUUUAGUACCACGUUAUACUGUGACAAUGCAUAUUGAGCUGUGCUGUGUCUCGCAAAUUUGGCACUGAUGCAACCUCACUAACAAGCUAGCGGCUAAUAUCCCUUCACAGUACAAAGCUGUUUCCAAAUAAAAAACGGAAAUGACGCAGUAUGUUACUGCUUACAUAAUCAGGUAUAUUAGUAGCUUUUGUAACCAAUUUCAAAAUG